CGGGGGACCACCACUAGCUUUUCGGUGUACCACCCCAGAAAGUUAGACAGCCUCUGUCUGCCAGAGUCAGGAACGUGCAGGAAACUCUUACUCAUCUCCUAGUAAUCUGUAGCUCCAAGAUGGGUGGAAUGGCAGGGGAGAUGGGAGCCACUCCGGAAACUCACCUUUGGAAGGCCCAUGCUGUGCCUUCUGCUGCCGGGGAGUGAAGAAAAAUGACUUUGGCUUCUCUGCUGCCUUUAAAGGAUCAUAAUGUUGGGGUCCUGGAGGAGGAAUGGGAAAAGGAACCAACAUCUCACGCUUAGCUGCUGCCGCUGUGGUCCACACUGAUGGGGUAAAGGAAUAGAGAUUGGGAGGUGGAUGACAGUGCUUGCUGGUGGUAUCAGAGCUGGUUUUCAUUUGCCUCUUAUUAAGUUCUGCAAAGGUUGUGUUUGGAUGCAUUCUUUAGAAUGCAGGCCAGUUACCAUUUUACUCUUCUUGGCUCUGAGACUAUAGCCACAAUUCCCAAACAACUGGAAAACACCAUUCACCAGCCUGUUACACUUGCAAUAAAGGCCCUUACUGAUUCACAGUGCUUUGUCAUGUAUAGUUUAUUGGUGGCUUAGUAACUAUUUCCUCUUCCCAAUGACACCCUGAUUUAUUUUUGGGACGUUUCCUCUCCCUACUUUUCCAUGCUCC
rnacentral:lncRNA from 1 species